UAGGCGACGGGUGUCGGGAAAGCUAAAUUGAGUAGUCAGGAUUAGGGAAUCUACUCCAGUCAUCUUUCUAGUUCACAUGACAGAGAGAGGUCAAAACACCAACGAGGACCCCCGGGACUGGCAGGAAGAACGGAUGACGCUGGUGAGCACCGUGUGAAACUGAGGCUCUGCGGCAGCGAGCAUCCAGAUGACAAGGACUUACACGUCUUUGUGUCAUGCUAGCCUCCAGGAGGGCCCCAGACUGGCGACAGCAAAACAGGCCAUACAAACUAGUUCCACACGGCUGCCAAGGGGAAAACUAAUCGUUCUUCAAGCAUUUGGGGAAGGGCCAUGAUUCCUGAGGAAGAAGGGAGAAGAGAAUGGUCUAAGAUGGAACCAGGUGUGCCAGAAAAGACUUGAAGACACCUCUGGAGACAUCUGGGAGAAUGCAUGGUAAAACGGCAGUGUUAGCAAACAGUAGCUAUCACUACUACUGUGGAAUGAAAGUGACGAGAAACCAUUAAAACCCUCAUUUAAUCCACCGAGAA
rnacentral:lncRNA from 1 species